CAGCCGCCGCGGUAACACGUAGGUGGCAAGCGUUGUCCGGAAUUAUUGGGCGUAAAGGGCUCGCAGGCGGUUUCUUAAGUCUGAUGUGAAAGCCCCCGGCUCAACCGGGGAGGGUCAUUGGAAACUGGGAAACUUGAGUGCAGAAGAGGAGAGUGGAAUUCCACGUGUAGCGGUGAAAUGCGUAGAGAUGUGGAGGAACACCAGUGGCGAAGGCGACUCCCUGGUCUGUAACUGACGCUGAGGAGCGAAAGCGUGGGGAGCGAACAGGAUUAGAUACCCCCGUAGUCCCUGUCUCUUAUAU
rnacentral:rRNA from 1 species